UGUGUAGAAGUAACAUUUUAUAUGCUUUCACACAGGAUAGAGAGGUUGUGGCGUGAUCUGUGGAUGGGAGUCACAUGUGUUUUCUACAAUGUUCUACACCAACUGGAGGAGGAAAACCUCUUGGAUCUUAGCAAUCCUCUUCGCUUGUUUUGCUGUCAUUAUGUUUUCUUGCCUCGCUUGAAAGUGAAUCUUGACAUAUUUAAACAAGGAUGGGACAAUCACCCAAUGAGAACUGAACAAAACCUCACUCCAAAUCAGUUGUGGGAACUGGGACAGAUCGGCCAUUCAGUGGUUGACCCAGAGAUUCCCCAUAUAAACUGGGAGGAAAGUGGGCUUGUUCCUGAUCCACAUGCUGAAUUGCGAGUACCAGAGUUGGACAGCCCACUUACAGAAGAUCAGAUGGAGCUUCUCCGUGAAAACAUUGACCCCCUACAACCUUCAGAGUCUAGUGGCAUGGACAUUUACAUGGAUACUCUGCAAUAUUUGGAAACUUUACUUGUGACAAAUUAGAUGUCACUUAAAUUUAAAUGUUUGUAAUGAACAGCAUUUUCAAUACCAUUUAUUUAAAAAAUCCAUCAAACAUGUACAAAUAUACAAGCAAGUACAAGCUAGAGAAAGAACCAGCUGGCAAAAAUGUUAACUUUAUAAAGUUUAAUGUACACCAGAAACAUGAAAAUUAUUUUAUGUUUGAAUGCCAAACAUUUGUGGAAUAUUUCAGCAAAAAACCACAUGAUGAACAGGGAUGCCUGACAAACAUUUAGUAGUCACCUCAGGAACACAACUUCAUGUCAAGACUGUGUUGAUGGACAUUAUUUGUAAAAAAAAAAAAAAAAA